rnacentral:rRNA from 1 species
UACGUAGGGGGCAAGCGUUGUCCGGAUUUAUUGGGCGUAAAGAGCGUGUAGGCGGCUUGGUAGGUCUCGCGUCAAAACCUGAGGCUCAACCUCAGUUCGCGUGGGAAACCACCUAGCUAGAGUCCGGAAGAGGAGAACGGAAUUCCCAGUGUAGCGGUGAAAUGCGCAGAUAUUGGGAAGAACACCAGUGGCGAAGGCGGUUCUCUGGGACGGUACUGACGCUGAGACGCGAAAGCGUGGGUAGCAAACAGG